rnacentral:misc_RNA from 1 species
GCUUAUCAAGAUUUCCAAUUUCUCAACCUAUUUUAUUUUCAAACAAUCCAAAAUAUUCCAACUCCUCUCUUCCAAUUUCUAGUAGAAAAUAUCAAGGUAAUUAUAAGAAAUUGAAGGUCAUGGUUGUUGAUGAAAGACAUAAUCUUGAUCACUUACAAAGACAAAACAAGACUCCUCAACCUAGAAAAAGAACACCCCAAAUGGCCCCUGUUGGGUUAUGGGAUAGGUUUCCAACAGCAAGGACAGUCCAACAAAUGAUGGACACAAUGGACAGAGUCAUAGAGGAUCCUCUUGCUUUUAAUGGAGGUUGGGUUGUAGGGGCAUCGACCGAUGAUAUCGGGUACAGAAGGGGAAGGACACCAUGGGAGAUCAAAGAAAAUGAAGGAGAAUACAAAAUGAGGUUUGACAUGCCAGGAAUGACCAAAGAAGAUGUUAAAGUUUGGUUAGAAGAGAAAAUGUUGGUUGUAAAAGGUGAAAAAAUGGUGAAGAAUAAUGAAAAAGAGGAAGAGUGGUCAGCUAAGAGCUAUGGAAAAUAUAAUACAAGAAUUGCUUUGCCUGAAAAUAUUGACUUUGAAAAGAUUAAGGCUGAGGUUAAAGAUGGUGUAUUGUAUAUUACUAUACCUAAGGCUAGUAGCAAUCCCAAAGUGUUUGACAUUAAUGUUCAAUGAACAAUUUUGAUGUAUAUUGGUUGCUCCCAAGUUCA